rnacentral:misc_RNA from 1 species
ACAAAAAAAAAAAAAAAAAAGAUGAAUGGGAAACCCAUUGGGUCAAUCUGAAGUACGAACGGAUGCCGAAUAUAUGCUUCUCUUGUGGACGGAUGGGUCAUAUUAGCCGACUGUGUGAAGAACAGCAACAGCCCCAAUCCUCUAAUACCUUAGAAAUACCAAAAUUCAAGUUUGGGCCAUGGUUGAAAGCUGCACAUCAUACUCAUCCCUCUAGCAGUAUCAAAACCACAGAGCCGCACACAUUACCAAACACAUCAUCAAAGAUCGAUUGGCUAUUACCUCCAAUACCAAACACCAGUAUACAG